UUAAAACUAGAAACUAUCAGCUGUUUCAGCUUUAAGGGAAAACCCAUAAGCUUGACUUGUGUAUUUUCCUAGAGAGUCCGUGGCUUAGCAGCGUUUGAUUGAUUUAUGAGCUGUGAUUUCUGCAAUGUGAAUGGCUUUCUUUAUGAAACGCAGAAUGUUGCAGAAUCUAGAAAAACUUCGAUAUAAUCUAGCAGAAAACUCACAUUUAAGUAUUUUAAACUUCAGAAUGACAUUCACGAGAAAGGCAGUUUCAUAGCCUGUACUGUAUUUUGGCUGCUGCGGCUCCCUGGGAUAUUAGUUCUCCUCCACACAGACAGCCAUGGCAAGUUAGCCAGAAGAAGAUGGGAAGGAAUGAAGGAAAACAUAUUCUGUUCGGUAAAAUGAAGAAACUGAAAGGAGGCAACCUUAUGAUAGCCUCUUACUUUAGCGGACUCCUUCAAAUGGAAACAUCUUCAGGAACAAAACAUAAAUGUAUGGAAAAACAAAUUCUAGCUUAUUGUGCAGAAUGAUUGUCCUCUUUGAAAAGAAUAAGCGGCUACGCCUGCUGUAGGUGAAGAGGUGUUAUAAUAUGACCCCAACCCGUGGUGGAGCAGCAUCUGAAAUCUGGUCCACCAAAGUUACAGCGGAAAGAUAUUGUUUGUUUUCAACAACUCAGCUGAUGACGAGUGCUGCGUCCCAAAUAUCAUCCUGUGAACCAGUCGAACACAAACUACCUAUGUAGGUCGAGGAAUAUGUCUGACAUAUAAUGUUUGCUUACCGUUUGUGUGUAAGGCACUUUUAUUAAACGAAGGUAAGAGCUAAACUUGUUUAGUUUUGUUUAUUUGGAAUUGAAAGCUGGUUUUUUUUUUCAUUGUUCUUUUU